AUGGGACGUCGCCGCCGCAACGUGGAGAUCCCCAGCGAGAUCCUACACGACAUCCUGAUGAAGCUGACGACCAGGGACGUGGCCCGGUCCUGCUGCAUCUCCAGGCAGUGGCGCGCCGCCGUCAGCGACCCCUUCUUCCGCAGCACCCACGCCAACGCCAUGGCCAUGGCCGGCCACGCCGCGGCCCCGGCGGAGGUCCUGCUCGUCUCCAAGACGUGCGAGCCCGGCCUGGGCGACGAGGUGAGCGCCUCCAGCAUGUCCACGGGCAAGGACCUGCGCUCCUUCGCCGUCCCCGGCGGCUACGACCUCGCCAACGUCUGCCACGGCCUCCUCUGCUACGUGCACCGCGCCGGCGGCCCCGAGGCGCCGGCGGUGGUGUGCAACCCGGCCACCGGCGAGACGCUGGCGCUGCCCAAGCCGCCCCCGCUCGCCGCCAAGGGCAGGAAGCACCUCUUCGCCCUGGGAUUCAGCCCGCCCACCAACGAGUACAAGCUGUUCAGGUUCUCGCCCUUCUCCAUGGACGUGUACACCUUAGGCGACACCGCCGGGUGGCGGCAACAUUUGCGCAGCUCGUCGUCUUGUCCAACCCAAACCACGGCCUGGGCGCCAUUGCUGAUCGACGGCAAGCUAUACAUGCCGACGAAUUGCUGGAAGCGGGUGCUGGUGGUCGAUGUGGUCACCGAGACGUGCCGCUCGUACGGUCUCCCCGAGGUAAAGACUUUUGACGGCGUGCCGCUAGUGGGUGCCUUUGAGCUCGAAGGCCGGCUGUGCCUCGCCAUCCACGAAAUCAUCCAUGACCUUCCCCGGGGCCUCAACCUUUGGAUCAUGUCGCUACCGCCGGAGGACGGCAACGAACCGCCGGAGGACGGCAACGAACCGCCCCUCUGGGAACCGCGACAUAGGUUUGACAUCGAUGAAUUCUACGCGACCAAGCCUUGGAGCGCCUGGGCCGAUGAUGGCGGCGAGAUGCUAUGCUACAUGCACGGCAACACCUUGCACAAGUACGACAAGAGAGGACGCCCACCGAAAAGUGAACAACUCCGGCUCCCAGAGAUACCAUCAGCAUGGAGAUCGUCGAAAUGCCGCUGGAGCAUCCAUGGGGGUUACCAUCUCACCCUGCUCUCUCCUCUUACCUUUGCGUUGCCGCCUUCCAAGGACAAACACCAAUUCAAGCACACCCUCUCACGUGUACUGUACGACGCCAUCCGUCCGUGGGUGAGGAAAGCUGAGGAAUAUAUAUGA
rnacentral:rRNA from 1 species